rnacentral:lncRNA from 1 species
UGGUCCAUCAGAAUCUAAGUCUCCAUUUUAGUUUUGGGGGCGACUUUAACCCUCUCACAACCAAUUGGUGUUCCAGCCACCAUUUGCUUCGGUUCCAUCCUUUAACCCACUCUAUACUAGCUUUCCCUAAUGCCAUUUAACCAACUAUCAACUCACCAUACCCCACUUAUCAAUACAAACUCAGAUAUUGCAUAUUUUCAAUACAUUCACACAACUGUUAGCCCAUAUUAUCCAUCUGUCGAAAAAUACAGUAUCUUCCUGAAAACAAUGUCGUGGACAUUGCCUCCGCUGUAACAGGAUAAAACACUUGUGAACGAGUACACCACACACACACACACACACACACACACACACACACACACACACACACACACACCCACACACAACACACACACACACACACACACACACAGAGAGAGAGAGAGGAAACAGAAAAAGCAACAUGAACAGAUGCAGGAUAUAGUAUAUACACACUUAUUUGCAGCUGGGAGCCAGUGCAUGAAAUACGUCUAAUUAAUCAACCAUUCAUCACACACACACCCCACACACUAACCUUCUCUCUUAUCAGAAGCCCCCUCCCCUAUAGAUUCUCUUUUAACUAAUCCGUGACAUCACAUCCCUGACGGUGAUGUCACAUCCUCUCUGUAAAGGUAUUAUGCUUGUUGGAUGAGUGACACCAUACUUCCAUUUCAGACACAUUUACUUUGGUCGUGCCGCCCGCAACACAUCACCUAGCACAAGAACCAUAACACAACUCUGAAAGAACUGUGAGGGUCCAUGGCCGUUCCAGGCCUUGCAGGACCCCUCGGAGGCAGUAACCCCACCUGGCUGUUGAUGACAGUCUACGGAUGACGACAAAGUCUGUUCAAAGUCUCUCUGUCAGGACACAGGGUAUGCCUGUCAAGAGCUUGAAUCAUGUCAAUGAGUCAAUGGGUUGUCCUCCCCAGUCAACCCCAACCAGCAUCAGGGCUGUAGCGAAUUAGGGGCUGAGUGGGGGUGGAUAGAGACUCUUUCUGGUUCCAGGGUGUCGCCCCUUCUUGUGACUUUGGUCUCCAAGUCAGUGGAGCUGCCUGGCCCUCACUUAUCCAUCUGGGUGGUGAAGGACUGGCGUAUCCGCACCACCUCACUGGCACACAGGUGUCCAUACAGUUUAUUGUACCACUCUGGGAACCACCCCUGGAAACAGAGAACAGAGAGGAGAUUGUUUUAGUAUCAGACCAGAGUUACUUUGAUUUAGAGAGGAGAUGUUUUAGUAUCAGACCAGAGUUUACUUUGAUUUAGAGAGGAGAUGUUUUUAGUACAGACCAGAGUUACUUUGAUUUAAAGAGGGAUGUUUUAGUAUCAGACCAGAGUUACUUUGAUUUAAAGAGGAGAUGUUUAGCUCACCAACCAGAGUUACUUUGAUUUAGAGAGGAGAUGUUUAGUAUCAGACAAGAUUACUUGAUUUAGAGAGGAGAUGUUUUAGUAUCAGACCAGAGUUACUUUGAUUUAAAGCUUCUCCUCUAGUUCCCUUGAACAUUUUAGUUCAGAGUUGAGCAUUCUAGCCUUUAUUUGCUGUUUCUAUUCUACUGGUUCUACUCACUGAUUCUAUUGUAACUGGUUCUAUU